GAUGAACGCUGGCGGCGUGCCUAAUACAUGCAAGUCGAGCGGAUGGAUUAAGAGCUUGCUCUUAUGAAGUUAGCGGCGGACGGGUGAGUAACACGUGGGUAACCUGCCCAUAAGACUGGGAUAACUCCGGGAAACCGGGGCUAAUACCGGAUAACAUUUUGAACCGCAUGGUUCGAAAUUGAGAGGCGGCUUCGGCUGUCACUUAUGGAUGGACCCGAGUCGCAUUAGCUAGUUGGUGAGGUAACGGCUCACCAAGGCAACGAUGCGUAGCCGACCUGAGAGGGUGAUCGGCCACACUGGGACUGAGACACGGCCCAGACUCCUACGGGAGGCAGCAGUAGGGAAUCUUCCGCAAUGGACGAAAGUCUGACGGAGCAACGCCGCGUGAGUGAUGAAGGCUUUCGGGUCGUAAAACUCUGUUGUUAGGGAAGAACAAGUGCUAGUUGAAUAAGCUGGCACCUUGACGGUACCUAACCAGAAAGCCACGGCUAACUACGUGCCAGCCGCCGCUGUAA
rnacentral:rRNA from 1 species